AAAAAGGGAAGAAAACAGAGGAGCCAGAGGAGAGCGCAGUUUACUCAGAUGUGACGAUAAGAUCAGCUACAGAUCAAUAGAGAGAUCUGCAUCAACAAGACCAGCAGAAUGGAUGACAACAUGAAUAACUGCAUCAGUGUUUAAACAGUAUUUGCUAUUUUUAUUUAAUUAUUGUGUGCAGCUCCGCUAUGCAAAUAUCAGACAUUAUUCUGUACAGUUAAACUAAUGGCAGAUCAUUUAAAGAAAAUGAUUAUGUGGGUCUUAAGCUUCUGUAUUGUUAAAAGUAUGGUUGACCAUUUCUUGUAUCAAUAAACUUUUGUUCCAGUA